rnacentral:ncRNA from 2 species
CUGUUAUUAAGAAUGGCGGAGGGACUGGCCCUAUGAAGCCUAGCAACAGCUAACUAAUAAGUUAGAAUUGUGCUAAAUCCUGCAGGAAUUUUCCUGGAAGAUAAGAG